GUGAGGGAAGGGGUGACUAGUGGCAGAGUGAGGGAAGGAUGGGGUGACUAGUGACAGAGUGAGGGAGGUGGUGACUGUCACUAGUCACUAGUCACCACCUCCCUCACUCUGUUCCUAGUCACCCCUCCCUCUAUUACUAGUCACCCCCUUCCUCACUCUGUCACUAGUCACCUCUUCCCUCCCUAACUCUGUCACUAGUCACCCCCUCCUUUCUGUCAC